GACGAACGCUGGCGGCGUGCUUAACACAUGCGAGUCGAACGGAAAGGCCCUGCUUUUGUGGGGUGCUCGAGCGGCGAACGGGUGAGUAACACGUGAGUAACCUGCCCUUGACUUUGGGAUAACUUCAGGAAACUGGGGCUAAUACCGGAUAGGAGCUCCUGCUGCAUGGUGGGGGUUGGAAAGUUUCGGCGGUUGGGGAUGGACUCGCGGCUUAUCAGCUUGUUGGUGGGGUAGUGGCUUACCAAGGCUUUGACGGGUAGCCAGCCUGAGAGGGUGACCGGCCACAUUGGGACUGAGAUACGGCCCAGACUCCUACGGGAGGCAGCAGUGGGGAAUAUUGCACAAUGGGCGGAAGCCUGAUGCAGCAACGCCGCGUGCGGGAUGACGGCCUUCGGGUUGUAAACCGCUUUCGCCUGUGACGAAGCGUGAGUGACGGUAAUGGGUAAAGAAGCACCGGCUAACUACGUG
rnacentral:rRNA from 1 species